AUAACUACCUCGAGCCUUCCCCCCCCAAACUUUCAAAUUUUUUAUAUAUAUAUAUAAAAUAGUACCCUGAAAUGCCAGCUUAAUAGGGUCGAGCCCCCCCUUAAAUUUCAUUCUGGCUACGCCGAUGGUCAGGGCCUUUUCAUCCGAAUGGUCUUAAUGUUAAAGAAGCCCCCAACUGGAGUGGAUAGGAGUGGAAAACAGGCAGUAACAAAGCCAUUUAAGAAGAAGAACAAAUUUUUAUCAAGUACCAAUGGCAAUAUCAAGAAACAGUUUAAAGUUCAAUUUCUACUAAUAAAUCAACUGCGGCGAUGAAACACGCCCGGUUACUAAACAUACUGAUGCGUUAUCAAAUUGUGAGUGAUUGUAUAAUGUGGAAUAUGUUCGUACUCUCCACACAUGUGCGAAAGCAGAAAGGUACACUUAUAAAAAAGAUCCAAACGCAUCUUAAGUUAGUGCUGGUGUCAAUCUAUUUAGCAUUUAUUUAGUGUUCAAACAUCGAUUUGAGACGUACGUUACAAAUGCUGAUAUCGACUUUUCAGAGCCGAUCAGUUCUGAUGUGAGAGCGUAAAAUAUUAGCAUACUAUUGAGCUACACAACGCACACAUCCGUAUGUAUUUACCGUAAGAAGCAGUCUACUAUCAACUUUAAUUUGGGAUGAUAAGCCGACACAAACACAUACAUACAUAUGCCUGAACGUAAGUAUACAUGCAUAUGCACAUGGAUAAGGAACGUAGAUCAGACCUAUGUGAAUUCACUUCGGGAGGUAUCGACUAGACAUUGCAGAGCCCUACGAUUUGACCCCUGUCAAGGGAAAAAUAACGAAUACACGCUAGUACAUAGUAUGUACAUUCAUAUAUACGUGUUCACACGAGCAUACAUACAUAUAUGUAUGUAUGUACAUACAUUAGGGUGUCCCAGAAUUUUUUUUGCGAAAUUCGAUACGCAUACCCUCCAAUUUUUUUCUUUUGACGUUUUCUUGCUGUAGGAUCACGAUAACCCGUGCCGAAUUUGAAGUUGAGGUUUUGGUUCAGAACUUAACUACAUACAUUAGUAAAGCACAAGCGUCACAGACGAAGUUGAUAA